UUCUUUGUUUUGGGAUUUUUAGUGCAGCGUUGAGCUUGGAAGAUGCGGGAACUCGCGCUUGGUUCAUACCACCACCAUGGAGCAUGUUUUUUUUUUCUGUGAGUAGUGACACACAUAUCAUCAUCCCUCCAAACUUAUUUUCGAACUUAUGUUCUGUAAUAAGUUUGGGGGAGGGGGUGAGAAUAGAUAUGUGUAUCACUUUUAUCUUUUUGUUGGCUUUAUUGUUUUAUCCUGUUUGGUUGGUGGUGUGUGAUUGUUUUUG
rnacentral:lncRNA from 1 species